UUGAUCCUGGGCUCAGGAUGAACGCCGGCGGUGUGCCUAAUACAUGCAAGUCGUACGCACUGGCCCAACUGAUUGAUGGUGCUUGCACCUGAUUGACGAUGGAUUACCAGUGAGUGGCGGACGGGUGAGUAACACGUAGGUAACCUGCCCCGGAGCGGGGGAUAACAUUUGGAAACAGAUGCUAAUACCGCAUAACAACAAAAGCCACAUGGCUUUUGUUUGAAAGAUGGCUUUGGCUAUCACUCUGGGAUGGACCUGCGGUGCAUUAGCUAGUUGGUAAGGUAACGGCUUACCAAGGCGAUGAUGCAUAGCCGAGUUGAGAGACUGAUCGGCCACAAUGGAACUGAGACACGGUCCAUACUCCUACGGGAGGCAGCAGUAGGGAAUCUUCCACAAUGGGCGCAAGCCUGAUGGAGCAACACCGCGUGAGUGAAGAAGGGUUUCGGCUCGUAAAGCUCUGUUGUUGGAGAAGAACGUGCGUGAGAGUAACUGUUCACGCAGUGACGGUAUCCAACCAGAAAGUCACGGCUAACUACGUGCCAGCAGCCGCGGUAAUACGUAGGUGGCAAGCGUUAUCCGGAUUUAUUGGGCGUAAAGCGAGCGCAGGCGGUUGCUUAGGUCUGAUGUGAAAGCCUUCGGCUUAACCGAAGAAGUGCAUCGGAAACCGGGCGACUUGAGUGCAGAAGAGGACAGUGGAACUCCAUGUGUAGCGGUGGAAUGCGUAGAUAUAUGGAAGAACACCAGUGGCGAAGGCGGCUGUCUGGUCUGCAACUGACGCUGAGGCUCGAAAGCAUGGGUAGCGAACAGGAUUAGAUACCCUGGUAGUCCAUGCCGUAAACGAUGAGUGCUAGGUGUUGGAGGGUUUCCGCCCUUCAGUGCCGGAGCUAACACAUUAAGCACUCCGCCUGGGGAGUACGACCGCAAGGUUGAAACUCAAAGGAAUUGACGGGGGCCCGCACAAGCGGUGGAGCAUGUGGUUUAAUUCGAAGCUACGCGAAGAACCUUACCAGGUCUUGACAUCUUGCGCUAACCUUAGAGAUAAGGCGUUCCCUUCGGGGACGCAAUGACAGGUGGUGCGUGGUCGUCGUCAGCUCGUGUCGUGAGAUGUUGGGUUAAGUCCCGCAACGAGCGCAACCCUUGUUACUAGUUGCCAGCAUUAAGUUGGGCACUCUAGUGAGACUGCCGGUGACAAACCGGAGGAAGGUGGGGACGACGUCAGAUCAUCAUGCCCCUUAUGACCUGGGCUACACACGUGCUACAAUGGACGGUACAACGAGUCGCAAGCUCGCGAGAGUAAGCUAAUCUCUUAAAGCCGUUCUCAGUUCGGACUGUAGGCUGCAACUCGCCUACACGAAGUCGGAAUCGCUAGUAAUCGCGGAUCAGCAUGCCGCGGUGAAUACGUUCCCGGGCCUUGUACACACCGCCCGUCACACCAUGGGAGUUUGUAACGCCCAAAGUCGGUGGCCUAACCUUUAUGGAGGGAGCCGCCUAAGGCGGGACAGAUGACUGGGGU
rnacentral:rRNA from 1 species